UUUCUGCGUUUCCCCUUCCAUCCGCCAGAGCCUGGGCGAUUAGAGAAGCCCCCUGAUUCUCUCCACGACCUGGGUUCCGCCGCCGCUGCGUCUGGUGUCCCUUCUGCGCCUCCCCUCUCUUUCCGACGACGGCGGAUGGUGUCCCUGAUUUACUUUUUUUUGCCAACCUUGCUAUUUACCUACCUUGCGAUGGUGAUGGCCGCUCCUCCCUUCGCCGACAAUAGCAGGUGCUGGAUUGGCACGCCCCUUGUGCGUAGAUCAAAGGGGCCUACGCGCCAGCAAGAUAUGGUGCUGCAAAAUGAAGAAUGGAACUAGCAGUACGAUAUUUUCUUGAAGUUAAGGCACUUAUCUUGAAUUUAACGUCAGCAGUUGAUCUUGCAAAAGGGAACCUAACAUAUAUGAAUUCCGUUCACCGCUAGGAUACAGAUUCCACUACUAGCAAGUUACUUCAGGUACCAUGCCUCCAAAAUUAUUAUAGUUCAGAACUUCUGAGAUCAUAGGAAUUAAUUGCAAGUUUUUAUGUUUUUCAAAUUCUUCUCCCUUUGAUAUGUCGGCAUAUGACUAUAAAGUUUCUUUGGACAUGUAAAUGAUAUGUUAGAUUAAAGUUAAUUAUAUUGGUAUUGUUUAUAUGACUUAAUCAUGUAUUCAUGUGUAGUGUGGAGUAUGUUUAUCUAUUA